CAAAGAACUUUGAAGAGAGAGUUCAACAGGACGUGAAACCGUACUGAGAAUAAACGUGCGAGUUAAGACGUUGGUGUAGAUUCAGCAAUGCUUCGCAUUGUGCAUUUCUGCACCGCGGCAGCCGGGGAGUGGCGUGCUAACGACGUUUCACGUGGCGGGCUGCUUCGGCAGUGUCCUGCGUGUUACCGAGUGUACAAAGUUCCUUUCUUGAAGGUGCCAUGAUCAUGGAUUUCGCACGGAAUGGUUAGGAUUCGUCCGAGCUGUUUCUGCGUUACCAGUGAUGGCGCAUCAGGUUGCCAGAGUUUGAUCUUGCACGACCCGUCUUGAAACACGGACCAAGGAGUCUAAAUUGUGCGCGAGCCAUUGGAUAUUAUCUCCAUAGGCGAAACGAAUGUAAUGAGGUUGGAUCUUAUUGCGCACCUCAAACGUGUGCUUUGUUCGCAUUGCGCUCAGUCAGAGUGCACAGAUUAGUACCCGAAAGAUGGUGAACUAUGCUUGAGCAGGAUGAAGCUAGAGGAAACUCUGGUGGAAGUCCGAAGCGGUUCUGACGUGCAAAUCGAUCGUCAGACUUGAGUAUAGGGGCGAAAGACUAAUCGAACCAUC
rnacentral:rRNA from 1 species